UUUUCUUUCACCGGAGCUUGCUCCACCGAAAGAAAAGGAGUGGCGAACGGGUGAGUAACACGUGGGUAACCUGCCCAUCAGAAGGGGAUAACACUUGGAAACAGGUGCUAAUACCGUAUAACAAUCGAAACCGCAUGGUUUCGGUUUGAAAGGCGCUUUUGCGUCACUGAUGGAUGGACCCGCGGUGCAUUAGCUAGUUGGUGAGGUAACGGCUCACCAAGGCAACGAUGCAUAGCCGACCUGAGAGGGUGAUCGGCCACAUUGGGACUGAGACACGGCCCAAACUCCUACGGGAGGCAGCAGUAGGGAAUCUUCGGCAAUGGACGGAAGUCUGACCGAGCAACGCCGCGUGAGUGAAGAAGGUUUUCGGAUCGUAAAACUCUGUUGUUAGAGAAGAACAAGGAUGAGAGUAGAAUGUUCAUCCCUUGACGGUAUCUAACCAGAAAGCCACGGCUAACUACGUGCCAGCAGCCGCGGUAAUACGUAGGUGGCAAGCGUUGUCCGGAUUUAUUGGGCGUAAAGCGAGCGCAGGCGGUUUCUUAAGUCUGAUGUGAAAGCCCCCGGCCCAACCGGGGAGGGUCAUUGGAAACUGGGAAACUUGAGUGCAGAAGAGGAGAGUGGAAUUCCAUGUGUAGCGGUGAAAUGCGUAGAUAUAUGGAGGAACACCAGUGGCGAAGGCGGCUCUCUGGUCUGUAACUGACGCUGAGGCUCGAAAGCGUGGGGAGCAAACAGG
rnacentral:rRNA from 1 species